CAGCCGCCGCGGGAAUACGAAGGGUGCAAGCGUUAAUCGGAAUUACUGGGCGUAAAGCGUGCGUAGGCGGUUUGUUAAGUCUGUUGUGAAAUCCCCGGGCUCAACCUGGGAAUGGCAAUGGAUACUGGCAAGCUAGAGUGUGUCAGAGGAUGGUGGAAUUCCCGGUGUAGCGGUGAAAUGCGUAGAGAUCGGGAGGAACAUCAGUGGCGAAGGCGGCCAUCUGGGACAACACUGACGCUGAGGCACGAAAGCGUGGAGAGCAAACAGGAUUAGAUACCCGUGUAGUCCCUGUCUCUUAUAC
rnacentral:rRNA from 1 species